rnacentral:snoRNA from 1 species
UCCCUUCAGAUUCCUUCUCUCUCAAGCCUGAAUAGUGGUUUAAAAGAAAAAGAGGGGGAAAAGUAAAAUUGACAUGGACGUGGAGACUUUAGUGACAAACAAGUUCAUCUCAAACAAGC